rfam:Oryza punctata chromosome 8, whole genome shotgun sequence.
AAGCUGAAUGUGAGAGCUGGAUGGGACCAAAUCUUGAGCUUCAGAUCCUGCUAUUGCAAAAGAUUUGGUUUCCUCCAGUAUCUCAUCUUCACCUU